UCCUCGGUAGUAUAGUGGUCAGUAUCUCCGCCUGUCGCGUGGAAGGCCCGGGUUCGAGUCCCGGCCGGGGAG
rfam:Opisthorchis viverrini opera_v5_7.168, whole genome shotgun sequence.